rnacentral:rRNA from 1 species
GACGAACGCUGGCGGCGUGCCUAACACAUGCAAGUCAACUUGACUGAAGGAGCAAUCUGACAGUAGAGUGGCGCAAGGGUGCGUAACGCGUAAGUAACUUGCCCAAGGUAAGGAAUAACGUCGAGAAAUCGGCGCUAAUACCUCAUAAUGCAGCGGAUCCGCAUGGAUAUGUUGUUAAAGGUUUACCGCCUUGGGAUAGGCUUGCGUCUGAUUAGUUAGUUGGUGUGGUAACGGCACACCAAGGCUACGAUCAGUAACUGGUCUGAGAGGAUGAUCAGUCACACUGGAACUGAGACACGGUCCAGACUCCUACGGGAGGCAGCAGUGAGGAAUAUUGGGCAAUGCUCGAAAGAGUGACCCAGCAACGCCGCGUGGAGGAUGAAGGUAUUCUAUAUCGUAAACUCCUGUGAGAGCAGACGAAAGACAGAUUAUAAUCUGGAUGACUGUAUGCUCAGAGGAAGCCCCGGCUAACUACGU